rnacentral:rRNA from 1 species
CCUUUGACGUUAGCGGCGGACGGGUGAGUAACACGUGGGUAACCUACCUAUAAGACUGGGAUAACUUCGGGAAACCGGAGCUAAUACCGGAUAAUAUUUCGAACCGCAUGGUUCGAUAGUGAAAGAUGGUUUUGCUAUCACUUAUAGAUGGACCUGCGCCGUAUUAGCUAGUUGGUAAGGUAACGGCUUACCAAGGCGACGAUACGUAGCCGACCUGAGAGGGUGAUCGGCCACACUGGAACUGAGACACGGUCCAGACUCCUACGGGAGGCAGCAGGG